GACGAACGCUGGCGGCGUGCCUAAUACAUGCAAGUCGAGCGGACGAAUCGAAAGCUUGCUUUUGAUUCGUUAGCGGCGGACGGGUGAGUAACACGUGGGCAACCUGCCCUGUAGACGGGGAUAACACCGAGAAAUCGGUGCUAAUACCGGAUAACACGAAAUGUCGCAUGACGUUUCGUUGAAAGACGGCGCAAGCUGUCGCUACAGGAUGGGCCCGCGGCGCGUUAGCUAGUUGGUGAGGUAACGGCUCCCCAAGGCGACGAUGCGUAGCCGACCUGGGAGGGUGAUCGGCCACACUGGGACUGAGACACGGCCCAGACUCCUACGGGAGGCAGCAGUGGGGAAGCUUCCGCAAUGGACGAAAGUCUGACGGAGCAACGCCGCGUGAGCGAAGAAGGCCUUCGGGUCGUAAAGCUCUGUUGUUAGGGAAGAACAAGUAACGCAGUAACUGGCGUUACCGUGACGGUACCUAACGAGAAAGCCACGGCUAACUACGUGCCAGCAGCCGCCGUAA
rnacentral:rRNA from 1 species